rnacentral:rRNA from 1 species
UGGCGGAGUGAUUUGUCUGGUUAAUUCCGUUAACGAACGAGACCCCCGCCUGCUAAAUAGCGACGCGUAUGCAUGCAUACGUGGGCCGCUUCUUAGAGGGACUUUCGGUGACUAACCGAAGGAAGUUGGGGGCGAAUAACA